rnacentral:rRNA from 1 species
UCUUCCACAAUGGACGAAAGUCUGAUGGAGCAACGCCGCGUGUGUGAUGAAGGGUUUCGGCUCGUAAAACACUGUUAUAAGAGAAGAAUGUCGGUGAGAGUAACUGUUCAUCGAGUGACGGUAUCUUAUCAGAAAGGGACGGCUAAAUACGUGCCAGCAGCCGCGGUAAUACGUAUGUCCCAAGCGUUAUCCGGAUUUAUUGGGCGUAAAGCGAGCGCAGGCGGUUAUUUAAGUCUGAUGUGAAAGCCUACGGCUCAACCGUAGAAUUGCAUCGGAAACUGGAUGACUUGAGUGCAGUAGAGGAGAGUGGAACUCCAUGUGUAGCGGUGAAAUGCGUAGAUAUAUGGAAGAACACCAGAGGCGAAGGCGGCUCUCUGGACUGUAACUGACGCUGAGGCUCGAAAGUGUGGGUAGCAAACAGG